rnacentral:rRNA from 1 species
UACAGAGGGUGCGAACGUUGCUCGGAAUUACUGGGCGUAAAGCGCAUGUAGGCGGAUCCAUAAGUCGGGCGUGAAAUCCCCAGGCUCAACCUGGGAACUGCGCUCGAAACUGUGGGUCUCGAGUGUCGGAGAGGAUGGCGGAAUUCCUGGUGUAGAGGUGAAAUUCGUAGAUAUCAGGAGGAACACCGGUGGCGAAGGCGGCAUCCUGGACCAACACUGACGCUGAGUGAGCGAAAGCCAGGGG